rnacentral:lncRNA from 1 species
AAGGCAACAAGGCAUUCGGUUAUGAAGCACUCUCGAGGAGAGAUCGAUUGGCAAGACAGGAUGCACCUAGCUUGGUGGCCAACCUCGGUAUUGGGGUUGCUCGUUGGGAACUCGAGAAGUCCGACGAGGGAUUCGAUUACAGGCGAAGGGUCGGGCUGUAAGUCUCGCGGAGGAGCAAGCUUGGCAAAAUGCUUGGAUUGGUAUUCCGCUGUUAAGUCUGGGAGACUUGUCCGUGGAGAGGACUCGAGAAGGCUGG